GCAUUGGUGGUUCAGUGGUAGAAUUCUUGCCUUCCAUGCAGGAGACAUGGGUUUCCUUCCAGGCCA
rnacentral:tRNA from 1 species